CUGCCCCCCACAUUGAGAAAACAAGAAAUGUGAUAUCAAUUAUACAUAUGAAAUCACUCAAAACAUAUUUCCUUAUUAGUCAUUUUGAAAAAAAAAACUGAAAAGUGAAAAAAAUUAUGCUUUAAUCUACACUCAGACUUCAUCAGUUCUCUCUGGAGCUAGAUAAUGUCAGAAAACUUAUAUUAUUCAUACUUGACCAUCAUCAUAUAAUAUUGCUGUUAUUAAUACUGUUGUCCAGUUCUGCUCAUUUUAUUUUGCAUUAGUUCAUAUCUACCCAGCUUUUUCCAAAAUCACCCUACUCAUUUCUUAUAGCACAAUGGUAUUCCCCAUCAUGUUGGGGUUUUCUUUUUCCCUUCCUAGUGUGUGAACAUUUGAGUUACCACAUAUUUAAAUAGGCAUUUAUUGACAAAGAAGGAACUGAAAUGGAUAGAAAUACAUCUUGUUUUUAAGCUUCUUAAAAAUGAAGAGUCCUUAUUCCAAUUACUGUGGUCCUCUUUUAGAAGGUUGUGUAUAAGAACAAGCCAUAGUAUUAUUCUGUUGUUUAGAGUUCACUGCCCUACUUUAUAUAUAUAUUUCAUAGAACUUAAACUAUUGAUUUAAAAUGAUUGCUAACUGUCAAAUCCAAAUUGUUUUGGGUCCAUUUUGUUUUAAUACUUUAUCAAAAAGAUCAUAAAUAAAACUCAGAACUUUGUGGCCGUUAACAUUUAUAACUUACAUAAUCAUAAGAUUUCCCCAAAAUUAUUUUAUUCAUUGAGAAUGAAAGAAAAUAAAACUACACUAAUCCUCUUUGCUUUGUCCAGAAAGGGCAAGAUAUCACAUUCCAUACCAUCAUAUUCAUUUGGUACUUAACCAUAUGCCUUGGGACAUAUUUUUUUCAAUCAGGCUAUUUACCUUUUGUUAAUUAUAUUUUUACAUUUAGGUCUGAUCUCAGAUUGGUGAAGGACUCCUAUUUGUAUAUUUUGCAGCAUCUUACAGAGGAGAAUUCAAGAGUGAUUGAUAACAUGCAGGGACUUUCAAGUAUGUUAAAAAUUGGGAUAAUUUAGGGGCAACAUACAGUAGGAAAGAAAAUCUUGGAUUUAAAGUCAGAAAAAACUUGAUUUUGAGUUCCAGCUCUUCCACUUGCUAACUGGAUGAGCUUGAGUGAGUGAGUCAUUUUUUUCCUGUUUCAAUUUCCUCCUUUAAGUGGUGUUAAUUUCUCAAGGUAGAUCAAAUGAAAAAAAUACAUGUGAAAAUUUUGUAAGUUUGUUUUAAGGCACUAUACAAAUAAUAGCUAUUAUCAUAGCCUAGAUAAUUGAAUGAUCUAAUCACUAUUAGAGCAGAAGAAGGCCUGCAGGCAAAUUUCCUAAUAAAGCAGUUGACAAAAAAGCUUAAAGCAAAACAGUGGAUCACAUUUAUAUAGUGCUUUAGUUUAUAAGGCACAUUCUUCACAACCAUUCUAACAAAUAGUCAAAAUUAUUUUCAUUUUACAGAAGAGGAUACUGUGGUUUGAAAAGAUUAAUAAGCCUGGUAUGGAUCAUACAAUUAGUAUCAAAAAUGGAACUCAAACCCAGGUCUGUCCUGAAUCUUACUUACACUUUCUGUACUAAAGGAUACUGGUGAAAUGCAAAACAAAACAUUUUUUAAUGAGGUUCAAUAAAACAAUUCUUCAUACAAAACAGCUAAAAUAUUUCCAGUUAAAGUGUCCCAAAAGUCUUUGUGCAAUUUAAACUUAUUAAAACUUGGCAGCUGCACAUUAUUUUGGCAUACUCUGUACAAGAAUUCUUUACCUGCCCCUCAUAAAAUGAUGGUAUCACAGAUGCCACACAAGCAACUCCUUCAAGAAUUAAGCUCCUGAUGCUAUUUAUCACAAGGCUCUGCUAAUUUAACAAUGGAUAUUUUAAAAGUAUUGAUAGAAGGGGCAGCUAGUUGGUGCAGUGCAUAGAGCACUCAGCUCCUCCCAAGUGCAAAUCUGGCCUCAGACACUUAACACUUCCUAGUUGUGUGACCCUGGGCAAGUCAUUUAAUCCCAAUUGCCUCAGGGGGGAAAAAAAAAGUAUUGAUAGAAAUUUCAUAAAAAAUUGCAGCAUUUGAAAUCGUGCAAAAAAAAAAAAAAAAAAAAGACUGAAUCUUUAAUACUUUUAAACUCACUGAUCUCACUUCUAGGUUUAUACUCAAGUUACUUAAUAAUUUGGGUGAAAGGGGAACUCAUCUGUACAAUUUUGGGGGGAAGGGGAGGUACACUGGACUUUCAACAUGCUGGAUUUAGAAUCAUUUGGGUUCGAUUGCAGGCUCUGUCAUUCUGGUGACUUUGGACAAAUGACUCAACCUUGCAGCUUAUUUAUCUAAUUUCUAAGUCAGAAAAUUUUCUCUCUAUCUUCCCUAAAUUGCCCUUUCCAACUUCUACCAGUUAGUUUCUUGCUUCCAGUCUUGCCUCAGAGAUCCAAAUGGAGCCAAUUUAAUUUUUCUUCCACAUAACAAAGGGAUUCUUUAUCAUUCAUCACUUCAGAGUUACUAUUUUCCUGCCACAUUUUGGUGGGUGGCUAUAAAAGAUGAGAUUACUUGAAGCUAGUUCAGAGCUGAGUUAAAAGGCAUUUGUUACUGGAUAGCAAAUCAAGUGUCUCCUCCCUAUAAGGUCAAUAUUUGGCGGGGGUGGCGGGGGGGGACGGAGGGGGGGGAGAAAUACCACCAGUGACUUUACCAAUACAGAGGACUCCUAUGGUAUAACUCCCUUUAGUGAUUUAUAAUGUAUUUUCUAAAGGAAUGAGUAGGGAACUGAGAAGAUAGUGACUUAAUUGACACUAGUAGGAAUUAUACCUAGGCUUUCUGGUUUCCAAAGCCAAAUGACUAUUACUCCACAUGGCUUCUCAACCAUAAUGAGGUAAUAAUACAGAUUGUAAAAAACAGCAAGAGAAAAUUAUCAUGAGGAUUAUACUGAAAAAGAAACCUGAUUAGGAAGACUGAAAUUUUUGCUACAAAGAGCUAAAAUUAAACUAUUAUCAUGUUUCUUUCAAGGGGAAGACUCAGCUGGAUGCUUUCAAAGUUAGUUAGAAGGGUCUUUUUACCUACUGAUCAAUAGUUACUUACCCAUUAGGGUUAAGUGG
ensembl:lncRNA